rnacentral:lncRNA from 1 species
UCGAAACUAGCUAAAAGCAACUCAAAAUCAUCAAAUAAUGCCAUAGGAAGCAAACCCAAUCAAUAAAGGUCGAAUAUUUACAUAUUUACUCAAAGUCAACAAAAAAUUCAAACUGGGGACCACACCUCAGAACCCGACAAAACUCAUAAAAUUUGAUAACCUAUUUAAUUACGAGUCCAACCAUACUAAUUUCACUCAAUUCCGACUACGAAUCAAUGUUCAAAACUCAAAAAUUCACUUUAGAAAAAUUUAGACAAAACCCCCAAUUUCUCUUUUGAAAUCAUCAAUCAAUUGCUAAAAAUAAAGAUGGAAUCAUGAAAUAUAAUCAAAACCAAGUAGAGAAUACUUACCCCAAUCUAUGUGUUGGAAAUCACCUAAAUCCGAGCUCCCCAACUCAAAAUGUUAUGAAAUAACUCAGAGUUUGAAAAUAUAGUACUUUAUAAUAACUGGGCAGCAAUACACAUCGCGAUCGCAGGACAUCCUUUGCGAUCACGAAGAACAAAUGCUACUACCAUCAAAAUACUCUACGCGUUCGCGAUACUGGCCACGCGGACGCGAUGACCACAUGCGCUAAAUCUCUACGAACGCGAACUGACUUGCGCAAAUGCGAUGAAGAAUUCUCCAGCUCCUGCUCCCGCUCAACCCUACGCGUCCGCGAUACCCCAUGCACGAACGUGAACUGUAACCAAUCUAACCCUUCGCGAUCGCAUAACAUUUAUCGUGUCCGUGAUGAAAAAAUCCACCAGUAGACCAAAUUACUCUUCGCGAUCGCGACUGGACCUUCGCAAUCAUGAAGAACACUAGGGGCAUCAGAUAACAGCAGAAACCGUCAAUGCAUGAAAACUCCAAAAUGGUCCGAAAUCAACCCGAAACGCACCUGAGCCCCUCGUGACCCCGUCCAAACAUACCAACAAGUCCCAUAACAUAACAUAGACUUACUCAUGCCUAACAACAUCAAAACUACAAAAUCGCACCUUAAAUCGAACUUAAUAAACUUUUAACUUUCAACUUCUAAAUCUCGUGCCGCAUCAUACCAAAUCAACUCGGGUUGACCUCAAAUUUUUGCACACAAGUUCCAAAUGACAUAACGAAGCUAUUCCAACUCUCGGAACCAAAAUUUGAUCCCAAUAUCACUAAAGUCAACUUCCGGUCAAACUUAUGAAUAUUCCAAAACUCCAAAUUGCCAACUUUCGUCAAUUAACAUCAAAACCUUCAAGAAACAUCCAAAUGCAAAUUCGUGAAUACGCCCAAGUCCAAAAUCACCGUCCAGAUCUAAUAGAACUGUCAAAACUCCGAUCAGGGAUCAAAUAUAUAAAAGUCAAACUUAGUCAACUCUUCCAACUCAAAACUUUUAAACGGAAUGUAAAUGCUCAAAACGACCGGUCAGGUCGUUACAUUUAAAUAAAGAGAUAAGGUCUAAAUUUAAUCAUCAAUUAAUACCCUAUCUAGUAGGUGCACAAUAACUUGACAAAAUAAUUAUAACGUAAAUAUAAUUAUCUAUAAAGUUGUGAAAAAAUAUUUAAAAAAUUAUGAAAACAUGAUAUCAACACCAAAUAUCAUUAGCUAUAGAUUUUUUAUUGUAAAAGACCUCAAUAGAUUGAGAGAGGUUAAUAUGAUAGAAUAACUAUUGUGGCUUUUCAUAACUAUGCAAGUUCACUUAAAUGUCUCCUCCUCCCCUUAACACAAAAGAGAAUACAAAACGGUCAAAUAAGUUCAAAAAAUGUUAAAGGAGAAAAACUGAAGCUCAUGCAGUAAAGGGAUCGAGAAUAAAACAUACUAGUGUAUGAUUCUAGAGGGAUCGUAGAUGGAGAAGCUUUUAGAGCUACCUUCUUUUAAUAAAUAUCAACAACAACAACAACAACAACAAUAACAAUAACCCAGUAUAAUCCCACUAGUGGGGUCUGGGGAGGGUAUUGUGUACGCAGACCUUACCCCUACCUUGGGGUAGAGAGGCUGUUUUCGAUAGACCCUCGGCUCCCUCCCUCCAAGAACUACCCACCUUGCUCUUGGGGUGACUCGAACUCACAACCUCUUGGUUGAAAGUGGAGGGUGCUCACUACUAGAGCAACACACUCUUGUCAUAUCUUUUUAUAAAUAUCAAUUUGUUGAUUUUGAUGAUGCGCUUCAUAAAAUUUAUCUCGUUCCACACUGUAAUUUCCCAGCUUUCUAAUAUGGAUUUGCACAGUUACAGAAUAAAUCAUGGUUAUAUAACAUCAUAAUUUUAUAUAGUAAAAAAGACUACAAUGAAACUCAAUAAGUUUAGUCUGCUUCUAAUACUGUAUCAUGAGAUGAGAAUCUCUAACAAUUUCAUUUUAUGAUUAUCAAAAUCCAAAAUUUAUCUAUAAAAUAAAGAUUCCACUCAAAUAUUUGUAUCUCUAUAACACAAAAAGGCAAAACAAACACAAAAAUACAACAUGUAAAAGAUAACUUUCGUGAAUUAGGAUAUGAGGAGAUAUGCUUUAAUAUUGUUACGAAGUCCAUGUACGUACGGGAAUUAUAUUCUUAUAGUAUUAUGAGACUUAGACUCCAAGAAAUCUUUGUUUAUAUAUUUUGUUAUAUUUCAUGUUUGAAUUUAUGAAAGAGAGGAUUUUUUUAAAAUAGUAUCAGAGCAAGUUAUUGAAUAUUUUUUUUUGUCUCUUCUCUUCACAGUUCACAAUUUAAUAGCGAGACAAAAGGAGCUAUGGAUGACGACUUAAUUUUUGAACGUGCGUCAUCCAUAUUACUCUAUGGAUAUAGUGAUUCAGAUUGGGGAGGUAACGUUGAUGAUCGUAGGUCCACUGUUGGAUUUGCUAUUUUUUCUUGUUGGCUUGCACUUGAUUUCUUAGGCCUCUCUGAAGCGAAAAAUUAUCUCGCAGUCAAGCACUAAGGUAGAAUAUUGAGCACUAGUUAUUGCCAUGUCUGGAAUCACAUGUGGUACACCUCCCUUUUCCUGAAGGUAUAGGAUUUGUUUUCCAAUUUAAAGUGACAUGAUUCAAAAUGAGAUUAUUUAUUUAUUUAUUCAGAGUCACCACUUGGAAUAAUUUAUGGUGUCUCAAGUCACCGGAUUAUUUUAAAUCCCAAAUCGAGAAAAUUUGACUCUGUUUAAAGUCUGCAAAUACAUAAGACCGGGUAAGGAAUUCUGUUAACUCGGAAAAAUGUGUUAUGCAUUCCCGAGUUCCGUGGUUUUAGCACGGUCGCUUAACUAUUAAUAAUUGGUUAAUUACCUGAUUUAUUAUAUAUUUGGAACCUAUUGUGCAUUUUUAACUUCUAACCGCUUUUAAUAGAGUUUUAAUUGCUUUUAGGAUUUAUGAAAUUUAUUUGAAUAAGUCGCGAUAUCGCGCACUUAUUAUUUUUUUUACACAUUGUGAAUCGUGUCACGUGAAAUGUACCCGCGGUCUACAACAUGUUUAUUUUUAUUAUUGUUUGAAGUUGAGAUCGAGUCACGUGAAACGCACACUCGAAUUGGGGUUAUGUAUCAUGACUAUGCCACGGAAAAUGUACCCAUAGUCACGAUAAUUUAUUAAUCGCGCCAAAAGCAAGCUACGAAUUUGAAAUAUUUUUCCUCAUUUGAGAUUAUUGCAAAGCAUGAGAUUUAUGAAAGAUUAUUAUGGAGGAAAUAGAGUAAAUUAAUUAUAGAAAAAGGUAGGCUAGCUUAUGAAUUUUAUUAAUAUGCCUUGUAGAAUCUUGUCAUUUGGUCCAAGAGCUAAAAAAAGUAAAAAUAAAAUGUGGUUCAUUACUCUACUCUAAUCCCAAUUGACCAAAUGGUCCAAAUGCUAUUUAUGAUACCAAACCCCAAACCUUUAUCUUAAAAUCUAAAAUGUUUAUCACAUGUCCAUCAUCACCCCUAACAAAUGUUAACAAACAGAAAACAAUUUAACAGCUUAUGCAAAUUACGAACAGGAAAAGAAAGAAGAAAGAAAAAUUAAAUGAAAGAAAAAAUAAUAAAUUUAAAAAAAAACACUCAAACAAUCAGCACCUAUUUACAAGAAAAAUUCGCUCAAAAGGAAACUAUGAUUCCAAUUUAACAAACUUAAGACACUUUCGAAAGCUAAUCAUAAGAAGAACUAAAUAAUCAAGCUCAUAUAGCAGAAUAAAAGAAACUCAAUCCAUUUUCCACAUAUUACACAAAUAAAAAAUAUAUAUACUCAUAUGCUUAAGAAUAGAAUUAAAAAUUCAGUGAGAAAAACCAAUCUUAAUGGCUGAGAAGAAAACCAGAUCAAAGCAAAAAAGACCGACGAACCGAAGCUGUAAGCGAGAACCUCGAACGACUUCGAACUUUAAUUCUUACCUCGCUGAAUAAACGGCCUAUUAGUGUGUUUUGUGAGCUACGUUUUUGUAGGUUGUUUAGAGUAGAGAAGAGUGGUUUUCAAGCUGAAUUUAUGGGGAUCUCCAGCGAGUUUUGGGACUAUUUGCUAAAGGAUGGAACUUAGCUCAUGGGUUUUGGGUGAUUUUUGGCUGUAGAUCUCAAUUGCUGCGUUUUUCAGAAGAUAUUUCUGAUGAAGUGGUGUUGGAAGCAACAAUGAAUUCUUCUUCUUGUUGUUGCAUUAUCAUCUACCAUGUUUUCCAAUCGAAGGUCCUUGAGCUUAUCCAAGAUCCACCCGUUUUUCCCUCUUUAAAUUCCCUCACUCCCGAUCUGCCUUUUUCUCUUAUUUUUUAUUUUUUUGAUCUGUUGUGGAUCCCCUCUUGAAUCAUAGAAUGAGAGCCUUUUAAUGAUGUAGGUUAUUUUAGGGGGAAAAUCUGAUGGGGUUUUGGCUAUUGGGCUCAGAUUUGGCCCAAUUUGGGCCAUGACUUGGGCAUUUGAACAAAGCAAGACUUUAGGAGAACUAGUCCAAAUUAAAACUUUUUUUUUGUGAUUGUAAUUUUCUUUUAGGAUUUAUGAAAUUUAUUUGAAUAAGUUUCAAUGUCGCGCACUUAUUGUUUUUGUACACAUUAUGAAUCACGUCACGUGAAACACACCCGCGGUCUGCAACAUGUUUAUUUUUAUUAUUGUUUGAAGUUGAGAUCGAGUCACGUGAAACGCGCACUCGAAUUGGGGUUAUGUAUCAUGACUAUGGCACGGGAACCGUAUCCACAAUCACGAUGAUCGCGACUAAAGCAAGCUACAAAUUUGAACUAUUUUUCCUUUUUUGAGAUUAUUGCAAAGCAUGAGAGUUAUGGAAGAUUAUUAUGGAAGAAAUGGUGUAAAUUAAUUAUAAAAAAAGGUAGGCUAGCUUAUGAAUUUUAUUAUUAUGGGCCUUGUAGAAUCUUGUCAUUUGACCCAAGAACUAAAAAAAAUCUGGUUCAUUACUCUACUCUAAUCCUAGUUGACCGAAUGACCCAAAUGUUAUUUAUGAUAUCAAACCCCAAACUUUUAUCUUAAAAUCCAAAAUGUUCAUCAUAGAUCCAUCAUCACCCCUAACAAAUGUUAACAAACAGAAAACAACUUAAAACAACUUAUGCAAAUUACGAACAGGAAAAGAAAGAAUAAAGAAAAAUUAAAUGAAAGAAAAAUAAUAAAUUUAAAAAAAAACACUCAAAGAAUCAACACCUAUUUACAAGAAAAAAUCGCUCAAAAGGAAACUAUGAUUCCAAUUUAACAAACUUAAGACACUUUCGAAAGCUAAUCAUAAGGACUAAAUAAUCAAGCUCAUAUAGCAGAAUAAAAGAAACUCAAUUCAUUUUCCACAUGUUACACGAAUCAAAAACAUAUAAUCAUAUGCUUAAGAAUAGAAUUAAAAAUAUAGUGGGAAAAACCAACCUUAAUGGCUGAGAAGAAAACCGGAUCAAAACAAAAGAAGACUGACGAACCGGAGCUGUAAUCGAGAACCUCGAACGACUUCAAACUUUAAUUCUUACCUUGCUGAAUAAAUGACCUAUGAGUGCGUUUUGUGAGCUACGUUUUUGUAGGUUGUUUAGAGUAGAGAAGGGUGGUUUUCAAGCCGAAUUUAUGGGGAUCUCCAGCGAGUUUGGGGACUAUUUGCUAACGGAUGGAACUUAGCUCAUGGGUUUUGGGUAAUUUUUGGCUGUAGAUCUCAAUUGCUGCGUUUUUCAGAUGAUGUUUCUGAUGAAGUGGUGUUGGAAGCAACAAUGAAUUUUUCUUCUUCUUGUUGCAUUAUCAUUUGCCCUGUUUUCCAAUCGAAGGUCCUUGAGCUUAUCCAAGAUCCACCAGUUUUCCCCUCUUUAAAUUCCCUCACUCUCGAUUUGCCUUUUUCUCUCGUUUUUUAUUUUUUAAUCUGUUGCGGCUCCC